GCACCUACGGGGCGCAGCAGUGGGGAAUAUUGGGCAAUGGGCGCAAGCCUGACCCAGCGACGCCGCGUGAGGGAAGACGGUCUUCGGAUUGUAAACCUCUUUCAGCAGGGAAGACAAAAGGACGGUACCUGCAGAAGAAGCCACGGCUAACUACGUGCCAGCAGCCGCGGUAAUACGUAGGUGGCAAGCGUUAUCCGGAUUUAUUGGGUUUAAAGGGUGCGUAGGCGGGCUGCCAAGUCAGCGGUAAAAUUGCGGGGCUCAACCCCGUCGAGCCGUUGAAACUGGCGGUCUUGAGUGGGCGAGAG
rnacentral:rRNA from 1 species